GGAUCAUGUGACACUGAAGACUGGAGUAAUGAUGCUGAAAAUUUGCAAUAAUAUUUCAUAAUAUUACUGUUUUUUUCUGUAUUUUUGAUCAAAUAAAUGCAGGCUUGAUGAGCAGAAGAAACUUCUUUCAAAAACAUUAAAAAUAGUAAUGUUUCCAAACUUUUGGUCUGUACUGUAUAUACAUACAUAUAUACAUGUAUGUGGGCCCAUAUAGUGAAGUGUUUAACGGUUUUCUUUCACCAGAACGAUGGGAAACAAAACUACACACAAGUCUCAAACACAACUCAAGGGUUACAAAACCCGGAAAUCAAGUAAUGAUAAAAGACAAAAAGAGAACUGGAAACCAACCUGUUAAACAGUCAACUCUGAUGCAAUGACAUGCUUUAAUGUUUGUUGAACAAAUUACCUUUGUAUUGUAUAAUAUGCAACAUCAAAUGCAAAAGAUGUGCCUGUUUAAAUGUAAAAAAAAAAAAAGAAACCCAACUCAUGACUGUGCUAUGCUACACAGUGAAUGAUAUAACACUGAGAGUAGUACAGUAUAUCAAAAGAAGAGAAUUGCAAUUGUUUAAGUAAAGUUAAACAAGUACACUGAUAAAAAUUUUCUGCUUGAUUUACUUAAAAUAUUAUGAUCCUUUUUUCUGUCUGUUCAAAGAAUAU
ensembl:lncRNA